CCACGAGCCUCUGGAGAAUGUCAGCUCUGAAAAAGGUAUUGCAGCUGGCGAUGAUUGAUGGAAAUGAAACAGUGUUGUAAUAGUCUUCUAAUCAUCAGUAUUAGUGCUCCGGUCGACUGACACCGUUUAACUCAUUAGAUCAGGGAAAUUAAUCACGUGUCAUUCCAAAGACUGCAGAUGUUUCUGCUGAUGGCAUGAAUAGUCUUAAUGAACGUUUUAAAACCCACCUGCUGUUGCCAGUGUUAAACAGCGAUGACGUCAUGUGCGUCUCACUUAUUGUGCUACCAUGGAUCCUGCAGACACAUUGCUGCCUUUUCCUUGACAAGAGUCCAGAAACCUCAGACUGGACUUUCUAAUGCAUUCGAACAGUGCUGGCCUAUUGGAUGUAUAUGCUUUUUGGAUCUGAAAGAGAAAUUUAGCUCUUUUGAAAAUCAAGGCACUUCUAUCAGCUCUAGUGUCCUGUGUUAAUUUGCCCCUCUCUGUGAGGGUUCAAAGACCCUCAAGGUUGCUGAUGAACCACUGUAUGCAGUUUUCUAAAUUCUUGAGCCCACAUGAUUGAUGGCAAGCUGUCCAGCCGACUGCAUCAGCCCACAAUGUCCUGCAUGGCUAUAGUUUACCUCCGUGUACCAGUGAAUAUUGAGAGGGCCCUGCUGCUGUUUCUAUGGAGACGAGGGAGGCUGAUGUCAUUGGAGGUGAUCCUGAACAUGCUCCGAUCUGUUUGUUGGAACCAGUAUCUGAUGCUGAUUGUGUAUUCAGCGGUAUACAAACCAUCAGUAUUCAACAACCAGAUCCAGCAACAAUCCUUUGUGAAAGCAUUCAAUAUUUAGUUCAUUCGUGAAGAGGAGAAUGUAUCUCAGAAUGAGUCAUUCAUCAUGGCUCAGCGUUUUCCCGAGGUCAGGGCCGACGGCGCAUGUUAAUGCUGUUGAUCUCUAAAGACAUUUCAAAUCAACAUCUGACUCAUUAACCCAUGUUAUUAAAAUUUUUUA